GCAAUGGUGGUUCAGUGGCAUAACUUUAGCUUCCUAUGCGAGAGACCCAGGUUCGAUUCCUGGAAAUGCA
rnacentral:tRNA from 1 species